UGGUGGAGUGAUUUGUCUGGUUAAUUCCGCUAACGAACGAUACCUUAACAUGCUAAAUAAUUACAUGUAACCUCGUCUACAUGGGCAGCUUCUUAGAGGGACUUUGUGUGUCUAACGCAAGGAAGUUUGAGGCAAUAACA
rnacentral:rRNA from 1 species